CCUACGGGUGGCAGCAGUGAGGAAUAUUGGUCAAUGGGCGGAAGCCUGAACCAGCCAAGUCGCGUGAGGGAAUAAGGCCCUACGGGUCGUAAACCUCUUUUGCCGGGGAGCAACGUCGGGGACGUGUCCCAGCCCGGAGAGUACCCGGAGUAAAAGCAUCGGAUAACUCCGUGCCAGCAGCCGCGGUAAUACGGAGGAUGCGAGCGUUAUCCGGAUUUAUUGGGUUUAAAGGGUGCGUAGGCGGUCUUUUAAGUCAGCGGUAAAAUUGCGGGGCUCAACCCCGCCCGGCCGUUGAAACUGGGGUUCUUGAGUGGGCGAGAAGUAGGCGGAAUGCGUGGUGUAGCGGUGAAAUGCAUAGAUAUCACGCAGAACCCCGAUUGCGAAGGCAGCCUACCGGCGCCCAACUGACGCUGAGGCACGAAAGCGUGGGGAUCGAACAGGAUUAGAUACCCUUGUAGUC
rnacentral:rRNA from 1 species